rnacentral:rRNA from 1 species
UACGUAGGGUGCAAGCGUUAAUCGGAAUUACUGGGCGUAAAGCGUGCGCAGGCGGUGAUGUAAGACAGGUGUGAAAUCCCCGGGCUUAACCUGGGAACUGCAUUUGUGACUGCAUCGCUGGAGUGCGGCAGAGGGGGAUGGAAUUCCGCGUGUAGCAGAGAAAUGCGUAGAUAUGCGGAGGAACACCGAUGGCGAAGGCAAUCCCCUGGGCCUGCACUGACGCUCAUGCACGAAAGCGUGGGGAGCAAACAGG